CCUCCACGUGCCUGUAUGACCUCCCUACAACGCCUGUGCAUGCUCCUGAUGAGGUGGCGGAUGGUCUCCUGAGGGAUCUCUUCCCAGACCUGGACUAAAGCAUCUGCCAACUCCUUGACAGUCUGUGGUGCAACGUGACGUUGGUGGAUGGAGCGAGACAUGAUGUCCCAGAUGUGCUCAAUUGGAUUCAGGUCUGGGGAACGGGCGGGCGAGUCC